AGUGAACGCUGGCGGUAGGCCUAACACAUGCAAGUCGAAUGGCAGCACAGUAAGAGCUUGCUCUUACGGGUGGCGAGUGGCGGACGGGUGAGGAAUACAUCGGAAUCUACUUUUUCGUGGGGGAUAACGUAGGGAAACUUACGCUAAUACCGCAUACGACCUACGGGUGAAAGCAGGGGAUCUUCGGACCUUGCGCGAUUGAAUGAGCCGAUGUCGGAUUAGCUAGUUGGCGGGGUAAAGGCCCACGAGGCGACGAUCCGUAGCUGGUCUGAGAGGAUGAUCAGCCACACUGGAACUGAGACACGGUCCAGACUCCUACGGGAGGCAGCAGUGGGGAAUAUUGGACAAUGGGCGCAAGCCUGAUCCAGCCAUACCGCGUGGGUGAAGAAGGCCUUCGGGUUGUAAAGCCCUUUUGUUGGGAAAGAAAAGCAGCAGGUUAAUACCCCGCUGUUCUGACGGUACCCAAAGAAUAAGCACCGGCUAACUUCGUG
rnacentral:rRNA from 1 species